CAGUGUGUGUGUGUGUAGGUGUAUUAGUACUUAUCCUGACAGCCCUUUCACAAAAAUGUGAUAUCUGCCUACCUGCCUCACUCUAGUUUCCCAGCUCCUAGUUAGCUUGGGCUGCCAUACAAAAUACCGUAGCAUGAAUGAGCUUACACAACAGAUAUUUUCUCACAGUUGUGGAGGUUAAAAGUGAAAGAUCAAAUUUCUAGCACUGUUCAUUUUCCAGUGAUGAUCCUCUCUUUUUAACUUGCAGAUGGCUUGGUUCUUGCUGUGUAGUGACAUACAGAGGAAGGGAGUGAGCUCUGGGGUUGCUUAACGUAAGGACACAAAUCUUAUAGAAUUAAGCCUCUACUCUCAUGACUUCAUUUUACCUUCAUUACUUCCUUACUUCAAAUAGGCACAUUAGGAGUAAGGGCUUUAGCAUGAGUUUCAGGGGAACACAAUUCAAUCUGUUACACCACUUUUGAAUUUUGCUUGCAAUUAAGAUUCUUUGGGCUUAGAAACCAGUUUGUUUUGUUUAUUGAUUAGCUCCUACUGCUAGGUAUGCUUAUUAGAAUUGUGUAUAGAGAAAGCAUAAAGUAGUGAAAAUGAGUUUUAGACACGUUUCUUGAGCAUUUUCUCAUGAGUAAAAGGCACUGGUUUUAGUGCAUGGAAUUUGUAACUUUACUGGGAUGGUCAGAUGUCUUUUAUCUAGAUUUGAGAUGUAUUUAGUUUGUGUGAGAUAAUACAGCUGUGUGAAGAAACAUUGGGAGUUAAUGUCAAAGGAAUUCAGAGAAAGAAAAGCAUUCAGUGUGGGUUGCAGGAAUUGGCAAAACUUUGUGGAAGAACAAGAGUUGACUGAUUCAACAUGAGUUAAUGGAAUUAUAAUGAUAUGAAAACACUCAAGAUGAAAAAUUGCCACAUUGGACAUUUUCUCAUUUGUGGUGCUGUAAGGUUUCAGAAAAAAAUGAUAGAGACCAUGACACAAAUUAUUUGUCCCAGUUAAAUAAAAUUUAAUGACCAUGUGUGGUGACAAAAAUGAGAAAAUCACUUUGUCAUAUAAGCUACUUACAGUGAUUCAUCAUGAAAGCCUUGGAACAGUAUGUUAUGUGAAAUUGGAUAUGCCCUUUUCAGACUGCAGUAGCCCAGAUCAGGGAUUACAUGUAUUGUUGGUUCUGCAGAAUGCUGGUAAAAAUAGUGGUCAAAGUUUUUUAAAACUUUGUGGACUACGCUAAAUUCACACAAAUACACAACCAAGCAAAUAUCCCCUAGACACAUAAAAAGACAACAAUAGAAUAUGUAUGUAAUGUGCUCUGAUAUUUUCUACACCAUUCAACUUUUCUUUCAAGGAGGUGGUUAUGGC
rnacentral:lncRNA from 1 species